GCACGUUGUUAGUGAGGCUUUUUUCUUUUGGAACCUUGUUAUUUUAAGAUAAGGUUUUGCAAAUGGAUUUGCAUCAAGUCCAGCAGGAUGACUCAAUGAAAACGAGUACAAAUAAAAACCAAAUGAUCUGUAGGAAGCAUAAAGACUUUCUGAUGAUGCACUGUUCAGAUUGGUGCAUUGCGUUUGUUUACUUAAACUAACAAUUAUUUACUUCUUAAAUCAUUCACAUUUAAAUCAAUCAAUACUUUUCAACUUUUUGAUGCAAACUUCGAAUCGUGCAUGCAUCUGCAUCUUUUUUUUCUUCAAGAGAAGUGACAAGCGCAAGAAAAAUAUUGCAGCAUGAAUUCUUCUUUUUUUUUUUUUUUUUUUCCAAUCAUGUUCGCUGGUUUGAGUUGAACGUGCAGUUCCUUCAAAACGCUUAGCCACUGUGUACUUCGACAUCUUAGAGAGGUACGGAAAUGUUUGGUCACAUCCCACUUUACAGCUUGGCAUGAUGAAGAAACCUUGAGAGGAAUCCGACAUAAAAGGGAACCCAUCCUCAUCUGGGUGGCACCAAACAUCCAUUAUAGAUUCUGAAAGGACAGCCAAGUCAAACAUCACAUGGCUCUUACAGCAAACUCAGAGGCGGGUUUUUACCUGAAAAACCUUGAUUCGUCCAAAUCCCGGAUAAUAAAAAGGCCAUCGGGUUCUGACUUUUACUGAGGUGACAGGAUGUGAAGCAGUUUCAGUCUUUCAUUAAUAAAAUCGAAUUGCAUAUUACAUGACCAUCUCCUGGCAUGAUGUAUGAUUUGACUUAUACGUUUUCCAUUUAUUGCAUUUGGCAGACGUCCUUAUCCAAAACAACUUACAUUUACAUUU